rnacentral:lncRNA from 1 species
UUCUAGCAGAGGUUGUUGGUUUUUCCUGCUUCUAGUAUGUAUUAUUUCCUGCAUACACAAGAAACACACCCUAAAAGCACUUUUAUAGAAAAUAAAACAAAACGCAAUAAAAGAAAAAUAAAACAAAAAUAAUUACAAUCAAGUCAAAGUCAAUCAAUUCACACUACUAGAAAAAUAAACCUCGAGUCCCCUGCAACGGCGCCAAAAACUUGUUGACAAAUUGGCAAGUGUACCAAAUCGUACAAGUAAUAUAAAUGGUAAGACCA